rnacentral:rRNA from 1 species
GACGAACCGUCCUAACGUUGUUCGGAAUCACUGGGCUUAAAGGGCGCGUAGGCGGCUUGCCAAGUCCGGGGUGAAAUCCUGCAGCUUAACUGUAGAAGGGCCUUGGAUACUGGCGAGCUCGAGGGAGGUAGGGGUAUGUGGAACUUCCGGUGGAGCGGUGAAAUUCGUAGAUAUCGGGAGGAACACCGGUGGCGAAGGCGGCGACCUGGGUAGAUACUGACGCUGAGGCGCGACAGCGUGGGGAGCAAACAGG